UACGUAGGGGGCUAGCGUUGUCCGGAAUCAUUGGGCGUAAAGCGCGCGUAGGCGGUCAGGUAAGUCCGGUGUGAAAGUCAAAGGCUCAACCUUUGAAUGCCGCUGGAAACUGCCUGACUUGAGUCCGGGAGGGGCGAGUGGAAUUCCUGGUGUAGCGGUGAAAUGCGUAGAUAUUGGGAGGAACACCAGUGGCGAAGGCGGCUCGCUGGACCGGAACUGACGCUGAGGCGCGAAAGCGUGGGGAGCAAACAGG
rnacentral:rRNA from 1 species